rnacentral:rRNA from 1 species
GACGAACGCUGGCGGCGUGCUUAACACAUGCCAGUCGAACGGAAAGGCCCCUUUGGGGGUGCUCGGGUGGCGAACGGGGGGGUAACACGUGAGUAACCUGCCCUUGACUUCGGGAUAACUUCAGGAAACUGGGGCUAAUACCGGAAAGAAAUCCUUGCUGCAUGGUGGGGGUUGGAAGGCUUGGGCGGUUUUGGGUGGCCGCGCGGCUUGUCCGCUUGUUGGUGGGGUAGUGGCUUACCAAGGCUUUGUCGGGUAGCCGGGCUGAGAGGGCGACCGGCCACAGUGGGGCUGAGAAACGGCCCCGGCUCCGACGGGAGGCAGCAGUGGGGAAUAUUGCACAAUGGGCGGAAGCCUGAUGCAGCAACGCCGCGUGCGGGAUGACGGCCUUUGGGUUGUAAACCGCUUUCAGCAGGGGCGAAGCUUGUGGUGACGGUACCUGCAGAAGAAGCACCGGCUAACUACGUG